CGCACACGCCCCUCUCGCGCAC
rnacentral:miRNA from 1 species